rnacentral:lncRNA from 11 species
AAACAGACCACGUAAUAUAAUUUGACAGUAGGUGCUCCCAAGCCACCCCUUUCCAUAAUAUCAUGUUUUACAUUUUAUUUUCAGUUUCUUUUCUAGCAAACAAAGCUGAAAAUUCCUUUUUGCUAUUGCAUAAAUAGUAUUUCAUUUCUCAUAAUAGGGAUCAUUUGUCACUCACAAGACUUCCUGAUCUCUGACCAUGGAGGUCAUUAAAAAUGGACUUUCCUUCACAUCAUCUUUUGCCAUGCUGGACCGGGUAAGAAAGGUGGCAGAUUUGAGGGUGAACCCAGCUCUAAAGUUUGGCUUUCCUAAGUUGAGUCCACGUCUUUGUAGCAGUUGGAUCAUUAGUGAAGUGCAUAAUAAUUUCUGUAUCUUGUCAUGAAGAGAAGUUUGGAGCCGCACCCUUCAACUUCAAUGGCUUGUGAACACUUCCCAACCAACCAUACAACCCUGACUUCUUGCAAUUUCUUUCCUGAAGCUCAAAACAGAUCUCAAAGGACAUGAAUUUUGGACAGUUAAAAAUAUCCAGCUAACUACGAUUAGGGCUUUUAAUAACAUUUCAGGCAAAGACAUCCUUAACUGCUAUAAAGGAUAGUAGCAAUGCUGGAAUCAGUGUAUUCGAUUGUAAGGAGCCUAUAUUUAAGCAGAUAAACUGGAAUUUAAUAAAUUCCAAUUUAAUAAAACUUACAUUAUUAUUGUUGGGACAGACCAAGUAUGUGGAAAAAUUAUGUGGAGAAAUUUACACAUGCAGCUGCAUAUGUGAAAGAUUCCUUGCCAAGAAUCUUGAAUUUCAGGCUUUUGGGCAAUGUAUAAGUUAGCAUGUGUCCAUAUUUGUGUGAGGGGCCUCCACAUUGCAGAAGUCUGUGAUGUGUUAUAAAACACUCAAAAAAGGACUCUUCAGCUCAGAUACGACUCUGGAAAUAGAGAGCUGGCAAAGCAUUUCUUCAUAUUUCAGUCUUGCUGAAAUCACUUCCUAUUGAAUAAAAAUUUUGAGCCUGAAAAGGG